UAUACAUUUGUUACACAAUAAUGUCAUAUACUGUAAUCUCUCAAAGAAUUUGUACUUUUUGUAAUUUUGUACUUUUUGUGGUUUAAAUGACUAAAUAUCACAAAUGAUCUAAAAGUUUAAAAUUAACUAAAGAAAAACUCAACACAUCUUGUCACCACUAGGGGGAAGCAUCGCUUAAAUUCAGAGGCUGGAACAUUGCUUGAAAUAUCAAGAGAUAAACAGAGACUCACAUCAGAUCAUAUAAGCUCUCACUCUCUGUGUGUUUAACUCACAGCAACAAUGACAAAGUGGAUGAUUAUUGCUCUUUUCUUCACUGCUCAUCAUUCUGGAUGUAACUCUCAGGACAGUAUUGACCAGAAUACAAGAUUUCAAACAGCUCUUGAAGGAGCAGCUGUAACAAUCUCUUGUACAUAUAAAAGCACUGAUUCAUCUCCAACUCUCUUCUGGUACCAACAAAAAGUCAAUGGAUUCCCAAAGUACAUGCUGAACAGAAUUGGUGCUUAUGGAGAUAAAGACAAAGAUUUUAAAGAGAGAUUUAAUGCAAGUAUUGACACAUCUUCAAAAUCAUUUCCAUUGAUAAUUCAGGAUCUUCAUGUGUCUGACUCUGCUGUGUAUUACUGUGCUCUGCGGCCCACAGUCACUAAAACACAUUCAACACUCAUACAAAAACCUUGAGCAGCUAAAUAUCUAAACACAACUGCACUAGCAUUAGUAAGCUUAACUAAACAGCUGCAGCCCAGCUAGAAAUUAAAAGUUCUAAGAACGUUCCCUGAAAGUUCCCAAUGUUCCCAAAAACAUUGUGCCAACGUUAAA